rnacentral:rRNA from 1 species
CAAUAGCGUAUAUUAAAGUUGUUGCAGUUAAAAAGCUCGUAGUUGAAUUUUUGCUUGCCGCCGAUGUCGGAACUUCCGUACGUUCGGCGGCGUGCAUCCUUGGGUGGAACCUGUGUGGCAUUAGGUUGUCGUGCAGGGGAUGCUCAUCGUUUACUGUGAAAAAAUUAGAGUGUUCAAAGUAGGCUUACGCCGUUGAAUAUAUUAGCAUGGAAUAAUAAGAUAGGACCUUGGUACUAUUUUGUUGGUUUGCGCACCGAGGUAAUGAUUAACAGGGACAGUUGGGGGUAUUCGUAUUCCAUUGUCAGAGGUGAAAUUCUUGGAUUUCUGGAAGACGAACUACUGCGAAAGCAUUUACCAAGGAUGUUUUCAUUAA